CAAUGCGAGUGAAAAACUCGCACGCUGAAAGACCAAGGGUUCCAGUCCAACGUUAAUCGGGGCUGGGUGAGUCGACCCCUAAGGCGAGGCCGAGAGGCGUAGUCGAUGGGAAAUUGGUUAAUAUUCCAAUACUUCUGUGUAAUGCGAUGAGAGGACGGAGAAGGUUAAGUCAGCCUGGCGUUGGUUGUCCAGGUGGAAGGUUGUAGGCAUGUAUCUUAGGCAAAUCCGGGGUACUCUAUGCUGAGAACUGAUAGCAAGCUGUACUUGUACAGUGAAGUGGCUGAUACCAUGCUUCCAGGAAAAGUCUCUAAGCUUCAGUUACACAGGAAUCGUACC
rnacentral:rRNA from 1 species